UUCACCUUCUAGAGUUACAGUUGAAGAUAUGGACCAUUUCCCUAAGUGCAGCAUUUGCAAGCAACAGUUUUGCUACCAAGGACCACCUCCCUGGUUGCUGCCAUGUCUACAUGCUGUAUGCAAGAUCUGCCUUUCUGCUGCUGAGACAGGGACGUUGAAAUGCUCGUCUUGUCACAAAGAAUUUGAUAAAGAAAAACACAAGUUCUCAGAGGACAAAGUCAGGGCAAGAGAGAUCUUCAAUCUGACUGUCCUUCAUCGUCCAUCCGAGUUGCAAUGCACUAACAAACAAGAUGGCGGACAGGCUGUCGUGUGGUGUAAACAGUGCGAGGCUCUCUUUUGUGAAAAUUGUCAAGUGGCUCACAGUGAUUUCAAAAUCACAAAAUGUCACACAGUUCAGACAAUCGACCAAGUGGCACAAGAUGGAGUCUCCAUAGAAGCCAAGGAUGCUGUUUGCUCCACACACCGAAGGCAUGUUGACUUCUAUGAUGCGACAUGUGGAGUUCUGAUAUGUUUGAGGUGUACACGUGACGAUCAUGCUGGUCAUGAUGUUCAAGAAGUCGACGAAGCAUUUCAAUCCAAGCAACUUGAAAUGAAAAACAAACACAAUCAACUGUUGAUCCAUCAAGAAUCCUUAAAUGAAUCGAUUCUACAGAUGAAGAGCAUUGAAGAAAAGGUUGAUAAGAAAUGUCGUUCCCUGCAAACGUUGAAAGAUCACACAAUGUCUGAACUGAAGUCUCUUGUCGACCAGAGAGAGAAGGAACUUGACCUUGACCUGAGCACCUGCUUUGAGCACAUCAGAGAUGGAGCCAGGGAGAAGCAGCAGGAACUGGAGACGUCCCAGAUGUCCCUGAACACCCCCCUGGACUACAUAGAGAAGGCCUUGACCUUGACACCAGUAGAGUACCUGGAGCUCCAGGCCACCAUGAUGCAGAGCGUGGACUCCUGUCUCUCUGAGCACGUGUCUGCCAUGAAGCAGCAGGAAGCAGCAGAAGGUGUUGCGUUCUCCAGACAGGGUCUCCAGAGUCUCAAGGCUGACAUUGCCUCCUUUGGAUGCUUCCUUACAUCACCGGACCAGGAAUCCCAGGCCAACCAGCAACAGGAUAAUCAAGGUACAUUUCUGCAGAACAAGUUUGAACAUUUGCAGAGAAAGAACCAUGAGCUUGAGAUGACACAGAAAAUGUUGAAAGAAAAGCUAACGACUGGGGAGGAAGAGAAAGACCUAGCACAUAAACAGCUUCAGGCGAACAGUGAUACGAUAACAUCUCUGGAGAGGGAGCUGAAAACACAACAAACAGCAAUAGACACAUUUAAGGAGCAGGCAGAGAAAAUAGACCUAGCACAGAAACAGCUUCAGGCGAGAUGUGAUACGAUAACAUCUCUGGAGAAGAAAGUGAAAACACAACAAAGAAGGAUACACAUAUUUAAGAAGCAGGCAGAGAAAUUAGACCUAGCACAGAAACAGCUUCAGGCGAACAGUGAUACCAUAACAUCUCUGGAGAAGGAAGUGAAAACACAACGAACAGCAAUAGACACAUUUAUGAAGCUGGCAGAGAAAAUAGGUGUGAGACUGACCAGUGACUUGACCUUAGUCAGUAGUCAGUAUACAACCGGCGUGCCUGUCAAACUCAACUGUCCACCACUCAAGUUUGAUGUCGAGCGGGCAAACUUCAAUCUGGUUGAAGUCACUGAGAGACACAUGGUCAACCGCCCUGCUCGCAACCCGCCAUUCACCACCAGGAAGUUAAACAGGUACAGCGGAACUUGCGGCUCCAUGACCCUUCCUUACACGCUGACCUCUGCACCUGUCACUACUUCCGGGUCCUUCCAAGGUCAAGGUCAACAUGUUCCCUCAUAUUCCCACGUGUCUUCUGACCCCACAGAUCCGUACUACUUUCAGGCUCAUGCUAAGAUAACACAAACAGCAGCAAUAAUACAAACAUGUAUAUUUGAAAUUGUAUUGAGUGAGCCAUCUAACGUUGAUACAAGAAAUGAUUACGGUCGUGGAGUAAAAGUCGGUUUCUGUGACACUCACAAAACAAUAUGCACACAUCGUGCAUCGUGUUAUGAUCAGCCAUUGGCCAACAGGCCAGGAUUGUCGAUGCUGACGUAUGGCGUCGUGUAUGAUGCAGUGAGGGGAAAAGUGGCAUUCAUUGAUGUCAACAAGGAGAAGAUACUAACAUCAAUGUCCGUCAAGCGUGCCCAAUAUCUCCCCAUGUUUGGCGUCCAGAAGAGUGAGGGGUUUACAGUUGAGAUAACCUUGAUGGAGGUGAAGGACACGGACAUCAGUGCAAGGUUACGUGGUGUCAUUCAACAAGCUCUCCAAUGAACACACAAGGAACCUAACCUGCCUAUGAAAACACAUCGACUGACCAAUCCGAGUAUCCGAAGUGGUGUCAUUCAACAAGCUGUCAUGGGAUAAAACAACAGUAGUAUAGUUAUAUUACGACCUGUCGGCCUGGUGUGGGAGGAAAGACCCAAGUGAUGCAGGUCUUAGACGUUUACCACUUUUGUGAAUCCAUGGACAGAAAGCAUAAUAAAUAUUGACUAUGCAGUUAAUAUGUUAAGGAUAACACUUAUCGGAUCUGGUUGAAAAUGUAGAACGUCGCUCGCGAUUUUACAUUCAUGACCCAAACUGUGGCGUGUUUUAUCCAAAAUAUGAACCGUUUAAAUCAUGAAACAACAGCAAAAAAAUAAGAAAACAUCAAGAUAUCUUUUGUGAAACAACACAAUUUGUCGCGGUAUAAUUUCGAUCAAAGAGAGCGGGAGCAAAAUCCACAUGCAGCAUGGACACAACUAAGUCAUGACAUGUAAAAUUGAACAUUUCAUCACCUGCCUUGGCGGGAAAACAGUGAGAUACAAAACUUAACACAAUAUGUGAAGUUGCAGGUCCGAUUCUGUCUUCCGUAAUGAAAGGGUUUCAUUUCUUGUCUUCAAUUUUAGAACAUUGAAAGUCCAAAUUUCAUCUGCUACUCAGCUCAUAAGGUCUUACUUCUAAAGGUAAACCCUCAUACAAGGUCUUACUAGGAAAAAGUAAAAAACCCUGAGGUUAUUACGAGAUAGGAAGAUGCCAACAAUACAAUAGCAAGUCAGCAAGCUUACACCUGUAAAUAAAA
rnacentral:misc_RNA from 1 species